rnacentral:rRNA from 1 species
AGUGAACGCUGGCGGCGUGCCUAACACAUGCAAGUCGAGCGGAGCGGCGGACGGGUGAGUAAUGCCUAGGAAUCUGCCUGGUAGUGGGGGAUAAAGUCCGGAAACGGGCGCUAAUACCGCAUACUAUCAGAUGAGCCUAGGGCGGAUUAGCUAGUUGGUGGGGUAAAGGCCUACCAAGGCGACGAUCCGUAAAUGGUCUGAGAGGAUGAGCAGUCAAACUGGAACUGAGACACGGUCCAGAUCCCUACGGGAGGCAGCAGUGGGGAAUAUUGGACAAUGGGCGAAAGCCUGAUCAAGCCAUGCCGCGUGUGUGAAGAAGUUCUUCGGAUUGUAAAGCACUUUAAGUUGGGAGGCGUUCCCAACAGAAUAAUCACCGGCUAACUUCGUGCCAGCCGCCGCGGUAAUAC